GACGAACGCUGGCGGCGUGCUUAACACAUGCAAGUCGAACGGAAAGGCCCUGCUUGCAGGGUACUCGAGUGGCGAACGGGUGAGUAACACGUGGGUGAUCUGCCCUGCACUUCGGGAUAAGCCUGGGAAACUGGGUCUAAUACCGGAUAGGAGCCAUUUUUAUUGUGAUGGUUGGAAAGUUUUUUCGGUGUAGGAUGAGCUCGCGGCCUAUCAGCUUGUUGGUGGGGUAAUGGCCUACCAAGGCGGCGACGGGUAGCCGGCCUGAGAGGGUGGACGGCCACAAUGGGACUGGGAUACGGGCCAGACUCCUACGGGAGGCAGCAGUUGGGAAAAUUGCACAAUGGGCGGAAGCCUGAUGCAGCGACGCCGCGGGGGGGAUGACGGCCUUCGGGUUGUAAACUCCUUUCGCUAGGGACGAAGCUUUUUGUGACGGUACCUAGAUAAGAAGCACCGGCUAACUACGUG
rnacentral:rRNA from 1 species